GGCGAAUUAGUGUAGUGGUUUUAUCACGUGAUCUUCACAACUUUAGAUUGAGAACGGUCAAGGUCCCGAGUUCAAUCCUCGGAUUCGUCA